rnacentral:lncRNA from 1 species
CCUCUUCAUCUGUUCAUUUAACUAAAAUCUGCAGAUUCUUCCUACGAAUCCCAGCUGGUAAAUUUUAAUUAUUUUUGCAAAGUUUCUUUUUCAUUCAUGGUUUCUCAUUUCUGCCAAAAAUCAAAACUUUACAACAGAAUUUUGUUUUCAAAAUCCAAUCAUGCAUACAUCUAUUUUUCUGUAAUUUUAUAUAUAUUGCUAAAUACAUGAAAAAGAAACUAAAAAUAGAAGGGAGGGGAAUUAUUGGUGAGCGGAUGCUGGACAGCCGGUGAAGCGCGACAUCGACGUCCCCUAUGUUGAUGGCCGCCGGACUGGUGGCGGUGGCAGGGGGAGACCGAGGGAGAGAGGGAGAAGGGAAAUAGAAGGGCUGCGUGAGUUGUGAAUUUUGGUGAGCUGCGUGAGGUUGUGAAGUGUGGAGUUGUGUGUGUGAUUUAAAUUAGGGUGGAGAUAUGGCAUGGGCCUCAUAUAUGAUGAGUUAGAAUGGGUGGUUUUUUUUUAUGGGCUUUUAAUUGAGGCUUAAUUUUAUUAAAUGUUUGGGCUUAAAUCUACUUAUUUUUUUUAUGGACUGCAUUUGCAUACAUUUAUUCAAAGGAUAACAUUAAAUUUUUAUAUUUCGAUUUACAUUAUUAACUUAGUUUUAAUUAAAUAUUGAGCUCAAAUAUUAUUAUAAGAAAAAUUCUUUUAUAAUUUAUUAGACCAAUGAUUUUAUUAUAAUAAACUCUUAAGAUUUAAACUAUUAUUAUUAUUAUUUUUAAGUUUAAUUAGGCCUUAUGUUUAUUAUUUGAAUUUAUCUGACUAGGUGCGGCGCGAUUAGGACGUGAACUUUAAAUUAUCGCAGUUAACUUUCAAAGCUCAAGUUUCAGGUGUGGGAUUUAUUUCAGUACAUGCACGUGGUUAAUAUUUGUCCAUUUUAAUAUUAUGUGUUUACCGUAUGUGUUGUAAAAAUAUUUAUCGCUAGGGGCCAGCAUAAUUGGUCCAGGACUUCACCGUCCUUGGUAUGCCACAAUGCGAUUUCAUGUUACAGGGUUGCAACCAUUAUAUUGUCGCCAGGGAUCCAUAUAUAGGGUCCGGGACAUUAAAGUCCUUGGAGUUGCCACAGUGCGUAUGGAAGUUAUGUUACGUUAUGACAAUAUGUGUUACCAUUUUAUUAACAUGGACAACUAUUGCAUGUUUCCACACUGAGUGUACCCUGUAUGCUCAUCCCAUAUUCAACAGUUUCAGGUGAUUGAUAAUGGAGGCGCGUGGAGAGUCGAAUGGGCGCGUCGAAUCUAUUUAAAGAUAAAUGUUUCUUAAAACAUAUUAUGUUAUUUCAUGUGAUAUCUUUUGGUUAUGUAAACUCUGAAAUUCUAUACUAUUUGAGAUUUGUGUGUGAUUUAUUUAAAUAAAUGUUGUUAUAUUAUUUUAAUGUCAUGACUUGUUUAAUUUAUAUUUAAAUUCAUUUCAAAUAUUUAUUUAAGAAUUUAUAUCUUUACGAAAAUAUAUACAUGGAUACAUA